rnacentral:rRNA from 1 species
AACGCGAAGAACCUUACCAGGCCUUGACAUGGGGAGUAUGGAUAGCAGAAAAGUUAUCCUUCAGUUUGGCUGGCUCCCACACAGGUGCUGCAUGGCUGUCGUCAGCUCGUGUCGUGAGAUGUUGGGUUAAGUCCCGCAACGAGCGCAACCCUCAUCCUUAGUUGCCAACAGGUCAAGCUGGGAACUCUAAGGAAACUGCCGGUGAUAAGCCGGAGGAAGGUGGGGAUGACGUCAAGUCUUCAUGGCCCUUACGGCCUGGGCUACACACGUGCUACAAUGGCGGUGACAAUGGGCAGCUAACCCGCGAGGGCCCGCUAAUCCCAAAAAGCCGUCUCAGUUCGGAUUGCACUCUGCAACUCGAGUGCAUGAAGCUGGAAUCGCUAGUAAUCGUAGAUCAGCAUGCUACGGUGAAUACGUUCCCGGGCCUUGUACACACCGCUGUA